GAGCUUGCUAGAAGAUGGCGACCGGCGCACGGGUGAGUAACGCGUAUGCAACCUACCUUAUACUGGGGGAUAGCCCAGAGAAAUCUGGAUUAAUACCGCAUAAUAUGUUUGAAUCGCAUGGUUUAAAUAUUAAAACUCCGGUGGUAUAAGAUGGGCAUGCGUAGCAUUAGUUAGUUGGUGAGGUAACGGCUCACCAAGACAAUGAUGCUUAGGGGGUCUGAGAGGAUAGUCCCCCACACUGGUACUGAGACACGGACCAGACUCCUACGGGAGGCAGCGGUGAGGAAUAUUGGUCAAUGGACGCAAGUCUGAACCAGCCAUGUCGCGUGCAGGAUGACGGCCCUAUGGGUUGUAAACUGCUUUUUUUACAGGAAUAAUUGUCUCUACGUGUAGAGAUUUGAAUGUACUGUAUGAAUAAGGAUCGGCUAACUCCGUGCCAGCAGCCGCGGUAAUACGGAGGAUUCGAGCGUUAUCCGGAUUUAUUGGGUUUAAAGGGUCCGUAGGCGGUCUUUUAAGUCAGUGGUGAAAUCCCAGAGCUCAACUCUGGAACUGCCAUUGAAACUGAAGGACUUGAAUAUGGUUGAGGUAGGCGGAAUACGUUAUGUAGCGGUGAAAUGCAUAGAUAUAACGUAGAACACCAAUUGCGAAGGCAGCUUACUAAGCCAUUAUUGACGCUGAUGGACGAAAGCGUGGGGAGCGAACAGGAUUAGAUACCCUGGUAGUCCACGCCGUAAACGAUGAUUACUCGUUGUGCACAAUACAUCGUGCGUGACUGAGCGAAAGCAUUAAGUAAUCCACCUGGGGAGUACGUUCGCAAGAAUGAAACUCAAAGGAAUUGACGGGGGCCCGCACAAGCGGAGGAACAUGUGGUUUAAUUCGAUGAUACGCGAGGAACCUUACCUGGACUUAAAUGUAGAUUGAUCGGCUUAGAAAUAGGUUUUUCCUUCGGGACAAUUUACAAGGUGCUGCAUGGUUGUCGUCAGCUCGUGCCGUGAGGUGUCGGGUUAAGUCCCAUAACGAGCGCAACCCCUAUCGUUAGUUGCUAGCAGGUAAUGCUGAGGACUCUAGCGAGACUGCCACCGUAAGGUGAGAGGAAGGUGGGGAUGACGUCAAAUCAGCACGGCCCUUACGUCCAGGGCUACACACGUGUUACAAUGGCCGAUACAAAGGGCAGCUACCUGGUGACAGGAUGCUAAUCUCUAAAGUCGGUCUCAGUUCGGAUCGGAGUCUGCAACUCGACUCCGUGAAGUUGGAUUCGCUAGUAAUCGUAUAUCAGCAAUGAUACGGUGAAUACGUUCCCGGGCCUUGUACACACCGCCCGUCAAGCCAUGGAAGCC
rnacentral:rRNA from 1 species